rnacentral:rRNA from 1 species
CACUCCUGCGGGAGGCAGCAGUGGGGAAUAUUGCACAAUGGGCGCAAGCCUGAUGCAGCCAUGCCGCGUGUAUGAAGAAGGCCUUCGGGUUGUAAAGUACUUUCAGCGGGGAGGAAGGCGAUAAGGUUAAUAACCUUGUUGAUUGACGUUACCCGCAGAAGAAGCACCGGCUAACUACGUGCCAGCAGCCGCGGUAAUACGGAGGGUGCAAGCGUUAAUCGGAAUUACUGGGCGUAAAGCGCACGCAGGCGGUCUGUCAAGUCGGAUGUGAAAUCCCCGGGCUCAACCUGGGAACUGCAUUCGAAACUGGCAGGCUAGAGUCUUGUAGAGGGGGGUAGAAUUCCAGGUGUAGCGGUGAAAUGCGUAGAGAUCUGGAGGAAUACCGGUGGCGAAGGCGGCCCCCUGGACAAAGACUGACGCUCAGGUGCGAAAGCGUGGGGAGCAAACAGGAUUAGAUACCCCUGUAGUCCCA